rnacentral:misc_RNA from 1 species
GUCAUAAUACCAUACCAAGAACGUAUACACGUCUGCAGCACUCUACGCGUUAAUGCAGGAUUACUUUUUGGAAAAACUCUCUAUUUAUAUGUGAAACGUAACUCGGAAGGUUUUCUUAAUACAGUUUUCUUUAUACAAUUUCAAGAUGAAGGCAAUUUUUCUGGCUUUCCUCGCUGUCUGUGCAAUAAGCAGGUAUUUAAUAGAUAAGUUCAAAGCCAAAUAAUAAGAAGACAAAGAAGAAAGACCGUUAUAGUAGUGUCUGAUAUAUUUUAUGUAUUUGUAGAAUAAAAUAAAAUUAUCAAGAUAUAUUAACCAAAAACGCAUUUAAUGGUUAAAUAAUUUAACCCCAC